ensembl:lncRNA
GAUUUUCUGUCACACCCAAAGAAGCCUCUGGCGCUGCCUUGCUCGAUGCAGCUUCUGCUGCCAUCGAUGCAGCCUCUGCCACCCUCGAAGCAGCCUCUGAUGCUGCCGCCUCCGAGGUCGUCUCUGCUGCCCCAGAUGUAGCCUCCGUCGCUACCACUCCCAAAGCAGCCUCUGCCUCUCCCGAAGCAGCUUCUGAUGCUGCCACCCCCGAAGCAGCCUCUGACGCUGCCGCCCCCGACGUAGCCUCUGUCGCUACCACCCCAGAAGCAGCCUCUGAUGCCACUGACGUAGCCUCCGUCGCUACCACUCCCGAAGCACCCACUGCUGCCCCCGACGUAGUCUCUGUUGCUAGCAACCCUGAAGCAGCCUCUGUCGCUGCUGUCCCUGAAGCAGCCUCUGAUGCCACUGACGUAGCCUCCGUCGCUACCGCUCCCGAAGCACCCACUGCUGCCCCCGACGUAGCCUCUGUUGCUAGCAACCCCGAAGCAGCCUCUGUCGCUGCUGUCCCUGAAGCAGUCUCUGAAGAAAUUGCUGAUGGUGACGCCACUGAGGCCUACGCCACAGCAGAACCAGCCGCCGCAGAUCAAGCCGCCGCUCUCCCUGCAGACCGAGCCGUCGCUGACCCUGCAGACCCGGCCGUCGCUGACCCUGCAGACCCGGCCGUCGCUGACCCUGCAGACCCAGCCGUCGCUGACCCAGCAGACCCAGCCGACGCUCACCCAGCUUGUGCGUACCCUACAGCCAGCGCUGCCGACCCGGACCCCGCAGCCACCGCUGCCGACCCACACCCCGCAGCUGACCCGGACCCUGCUGCCACAGCUGCCAACCAAGAUCCUCCAGCAUCCGUUUCCGAUGCAGGUCCAGCAGCACCCUCUGCCGAGACCGGUCCAGCAGCACCUUCUGAUGGCGUCGCUGCUGAGGGCUCUGCUGUUCCAAGCGCCCCUGUCCCGAGCGCCCCUGUCCCGAGCGCCCCUGUCCCGAGCGCCCCUGUCCCGAGCGCCCCAGGCGCCCCUGUCCCGAGCGUCCCAGGCGCCCCUGUCCCGAGCGUCCCAGGCUCCCCUGUCCCGAGCGUCCCAGGCUCCCCUGUCCCGAGCGUCCCAGGCUCCCCUGUCCCGAGCGUCCCAGGCUCCCCUGUCCCGAGCGUCCCAGGCUCCCCUGUCCCGAGCGUCCCAGGCGCCCCGGUCCCGAGCGUCCCAGGCUCCCCUGUCCCGAGCGCCUCAGGCGUCCCGGUCCCGAGCGUCUCCGGCGUUCCUGUCCAAGGUGUCCUUGCGCCGGUUCCAGGCGUCCAUGCGCCGGCCCCAGGCGCUUCGGAUCCUGUCUCCAGUGUUCCUGGGUUCCCUGUCCCAGCUGCAGCAGACCCAGGGUUCGGUGCCGCCAGCCCUAAUGAACCAGCGAGUCCAGGUGCCACGUCUACCCCAGCCACUGGCCCUGCAACCCCAAACACCAAUCGAUAUCGCUGGCAUCUAUUUGUUGUUAGGGUU